AAUCGAACUCGGAGAUAGCUGGUUCUCCCCGAAAUAGCUUUAGGGCUAGCGUUAUUUUAGAUUACCGGAGGUAAAGCACUGAAUGGUCUAGGGGCCGCGAGGUUACCAAAGCCUAUCAAACUCUGAAUGCCGGAUAAUUGAUGAAUAGCAGUCAGACUGUGUGAGAUAAGUCUCAUAGUCAAAAGGGAAACAGCCCAGAUCUACAGCUAAGGUCCCAAAUGAACACUAAGUGGAAAAUGAUGUGAAACUGCGAAGACAACCAGGAUGUUGGCUUAGAAGCAGCCACUCAUUCAAAGAGUGCGUAAUAGCUCACUGGUCGAGUGGUUUUGCGCAGAAAAUGUAACGGGGCUAAGUGUUCAACCGAAGCUUAGGCAUUGCAGUAAUGCAUUGGGUAGGGGAGCGUCGUAUGCGGGGCGAAGUCAGAGCGGAAGCACUGGUGGACUGCAUACGAGUGAGAAUGCCGGAAUAAGUAGCGAGAAUUAUGUGAGAAUCAUAAUGGCCGAAAAUCUAAGGUUUCUUGGGGAAGGUUCGUCCGCCCAAGGUUAGUCGGGAGCUAAGCUCAGGCCGAAAGGCGUAGGCGAUGCACAUACGGUAGAAAUUCCGUAACCACCGAACAUUUAAGCUAGAGGGACGCUUUCUUUAAGGUUAUCCCGGGCGAUGGUUGCCCCGGGCGUAAGGGACCGAAAUAUAGUAGGGAAGUAACUGGCGAGAGAGACGAGAAAAGCUCUAGUGUAUACUAAGGUGCCCGUACCGCAAACCGACACAGGUAGAUGGGAUGAGUAUUCUAAGGCCAACGGGAGAAGGGUUGUUAAGGAACUCGGCAAAUUGGCCCCGUAACUUCGGGAUAAGGGGCGCCUGCGAGAGCAGGCCGCAGUGAAAAGGCCCAAGCGACUGUUUAGCAAAAACACAGCUCUCUGCUAAAUCGAAAGAUGACGUAUAGGGGGUGACGCCUGCCCGGUGCUGGAAGGUUAAGGGGAGUGCUUAGCGCAAGCGAAGGUGCGAACUUAAGCCCCAGUAAACGGCGGCCGUAACUAUAACGGUCCUAAGGUAGCGAAAUUCCUUGUCAGGUAAGUUCUGACCCGCACGAAUGGCGUAACGAUUUGGGCACUGUCUCAACAGCCCGCCCGGCGAAAUUGUAGUACCGGUGAAGAUGCCGGUUUCCCGCAACUAGACGGAAAGACCCCAUGGAGCUUCACUGUAGCUUGAUAUUGGAUCUCGGUAUUCCAUGUACAGGAUAGGUGGGAGGCUAGGAAGUAAGCGCGCCAGCGUUUAUGGAGCCAACCUUGGGAUACCACUCUUGGGAUAUUGGGAUUCUAACCUGCGACCAUGAAUCUGGUCGGGGGACACUGUCAGGUGGGCAGUUUGACUGGGGCGGUCGCCUCCAAAAGAGUAACGGAGGCGCUCAAAGGU
rnacentral:rRNA from 1 species